rnacentral:lncRNA from 1 species
UUCCUCUUAAAACCUCAUUAGGGAAGAACAGCAAUCAAAUGAGGAAUGCAGGGUUGCCUCUCCUACUGUCAGGCUGUUGCCUGCACAGCUUCGCCUGGACACAGGGUCACUGCACAACAAUGCAAGGUGGCUACAGCUGAAAUAGCAGAAAUCCAGUACGAUUCUCCUUUUCCUCUGCAAUCAGUGUGCAGCUCAGGGGGCAGCAGUCUGUGCAUUCACACACUGGGCUGUGUUUUCCAGUUUGGUAACAGCCUGCAGCAUCUUUGAGCCCGCGUAUCUACUGGAAGGCCCAGGUGUUGCCCCUGCACAUGGGAAACCCCCUCACAGGAGAUGAUGAGCAGCCGGAGGUAGAAUAGAAGGAUGCUCGCACUAACCUCUGGGGGGUCGGCACAGCGGAGAGAAAGUCCUUGCAAUGAUCUGCCAGCAUUUUUCUUUCCCCACCGGGGAUCUCAGGGAAGAAGGCACGGGGUCAGCGCCUCGGCUCUGAGAGGCUCUCCUGCUGGCCCUCCGGAAGCACUUGAGGGCCAGGUCUCUCUUGCCAAGGAAGUGGGGGAGAGAAGUACAGCUCAGAGAGCUGUUUACUUUCCUGUUGAAUGAACAAUUUUGAAUGAGCAAGAUUAGUCUACAAGGAUGAAAAUGCAAUCCUGUCUCACUUAAACAAAAAAAAGAAAAAAAAAAAAAAGAAAAAAGGGGGGAAGGGGUAAGAAAUUAGGUUAGCUCUUCCAGAGACUUUCUACCUCCAGGAGAAGCAGCACAGCUUAAUCUCAGCUGGGCCUCCCUCCCUCUCAUGAGGGGCCUUCUGCCAGCCCCCAGCCAAGAGCCCCCAGGCCUGAGGAGCCCUUCAGGAGUGCCACGCAUGGACGUCUGCGGGGCUGCAGCAUCCACAGGCAACCCCCAGCCCCUGGGCGCUUUUCCUAUCAGUUGGAUGUCCGCCCU